rnacentral:tRNA from 2 species
CCCCAUAUAGUUUAAAGGAUAAAACAUUUCGCUACGAACGAAAAAUUAGAGGUUCGAUUCCUCUUAUGGGGUCCA